AGCUUACUCCAACAAUCUCCCCU
rnacentral:siRNA from 1 species